GUGAGGCCCCCUCCUGGCCUGGGACUCAGGAUCCCGCCUGGGGGGUGACAGCUACUCCGGAAGAGGAGGGCGGCAGGAGAGCCCGGCCCCAGCUUCCUCCUGGUGGGGCACAGGAUGCUGGGGGAGGAUUUCGUGGGCCUCAGGAGAAGCAGCUCCUUGCCAGCGCACCGGAGGGGACCUGACGCUAGCAGGCACCUCCCACAUCGUGUCCUCUCCAGGAGCCAUGAGACACAUCCAUCCCUUCUUGCUGGCCGUCCUGCUGUGCUCGGAGUGUGCCCUGAGCCUUCAGUGCUACAGCUGUGCUGAAGUGGAGAACAGCAGCCCGUGCCAGCCCUCCCAGUGUCUGAUGCAGGGCGUCUGCUACACUAGUGACAUAACCUUGACCUUGGACGACGGAAAUCGGGUGAAGUACCAGCAGAAGGGGUGUGCCCCCUCCUGUGAGGAAGUCUCCCGCAUACUGCAGCAGCUUUCCCAGAGCAGCGGCCCCGGCAAUCUGGGCCUGCUGGGCCUAACGAAGCUUGAAGUGCAGGGUUUGAGGUGCUGUGAAAGGGACCUCUGUAAUGGGGGCACACUGCCCCUGGGCCCUGGCGGGGGGCUCCUGCUCAGCCUAGGGCUCAUCUUCCUCUGGGCCCUGCUGUGAGCAGCCCUGACUCCAGCACAGAAAGCAGGGCGUCGUCCUGAACAGAGUCACGCAGCAGGCACGUGAAGCAAGCUCGCUGUCCCACCCUUGCACACGCACACGCGCACACACACACACACACACACA
rnacentral:lncRNA from 1 species